UAAGGCAUUUUAAGGUUGUUC
rnacentral:miRNA from 1 species